ACAGCGCGACUUGGGCGUUUACGAUUCUAGGAGCGGGCGACACAGAGGUGACCUAUGGGGCACCAUUUUGACAGUUCAGACCACUAUAAAAACAGGCUGGGGGCCGACGAGGCUCAGAACAAACAACCAUGAAGUUGGUCUUCCUUCUACCGGUGCUGGCACUUCUAUGUGCCACGCUGCAAUCGGCGAGCGCGUGGCAGUGCCCCCGUCACCACAUAAUUUACCUACGGACCUACAAGACAUCGGCCAGCGCCAGCAAGUGCUACUGCUCUCGGCCGGGCUGGAAGUGCUGCCCCACCAAAUGGGGAUACAUGUGCCUGCCCGUCUGUAGGCCCUACACACACUGGAAGAUCAGGUGUCCCAAAUACAAGCGCCGCUGCGGACUGGUCACCCAAACCAAACACUGGUACUCCAGAUGCUUCUGAACGUCACACGGCGUCGAAUACCGGGAGACGGACGGCGCAGGGAGAAGACGAGCCCGAGACCCGCCGUCCGCAGCAGGGGCUGACGGGCCAGGAUACCGGCCGCAGCAGGGCUGAAUCACGCACAGCUUUAUCAACCCUAUCCGAACCAGGCUUUGUCAGAUAUCUUCGUUUCACCUCCAGUUCGUAAUAAAUGCACAUUGUACCAAACCAACGAGUAAAGCUCUCGUGACCUGUAUAUUUGGCUUAUGAAGAAACAAUGCAAUAUAAUUUCGCUGGGGAA